rnacentral:rRNA from 1 species
ACGGAAGGCAGCAGCUAAGAAUAUUCCGCAAUGGACGAAAGUCUGACGGAGCGACGCCGCGUGGAUGAUGAAGGCCGGAAGGUUGUAAAAUCCUUUUAAGUGUGAAGAAUAAGUAGAAGAAGAGAAUGCUUCUAUGGUGACGGUAGCACUUGAAUAAGCAACGGCUAAUUACGUGCCAGCAGCCGCGGUAACACGUAAGUUGCGAGCGUUGUUCGGAAUUAUUGGGCGUAAAGGGCAUGUAGGCGGUUUUGCAAGCUUGGUGUGAAAUCUCGGAGCUCAACUCCGAAAUUGCGUUGAGAACUGCAUGACUGGAGUCACUGAGGGGCAAUCAGAAUUCCUGGUGUAGGGGUGAAAUCUGUAGAUAUCAGGAAGAAUACCAAUGGCGAAGGCAGGUUACCAGCAGAUGACUGACGCUGAGGUGCGAAGGUGCGGGGAGCAAACAGGAUUAGAUACCCUGGUA